rnacentral:rRNA from 1 species
CACGUAGGGCGCAAGCGUUGUCCGGAAUUAUUGGGCGUAAAGAGCUCGUAGGCGGUCUGUUGCGUCCGCUGUGAAAACCCAGGGCUUAACCCUGGGCUGGCAGUGGAUACGGACAGACUAGAGGUAGGUAGGGGAGAAUGGAAUUCCGGGUGUAGUGGUGAAAUGCGUAGAUAUCCGGAGGAACACCAGUGGCGAAGGCGACUUUCUGGCCUGUUCUUGACGCUGAGGCGCGAAAGCUAGGGGAGCAAACGGG